rnacentral:pre_miRNA from 1 species
CGAAGCUGUGGAGUGUGACAAUGGUGUUUGUGUCCUCUGCUGUCAAACGCCAUUAUUACACUAUAUAGCUACGG